rnacentral:rRNA from 1 species
CGCCUCUUGCAAAAUCAACAAAUAAGAGGUCCCGCCUGCCCCGUGACUAUAUGUUCAACGGCCGCGGUAUUUUGACCGUGCAAAGGUAGCGAAAUCACUUGUCUUUUAAAUGAAGACCUGUAUGAAUGGCAUAACGAGGGCUUAACUGUCUCUUCUUUCCAAGCCAAUGAAAUUGAUCUCCCCGUGCAGAAGCGGGGAUAACUACAUAAGACGAGAAGACCCUGUGGAGCUUUAGACACCAAGGCAGAUUAUGUUAAACACCCCUAACUAACGGACUAAACUAAUUAAUCCCUGCCCUAUUGUCUUAGGUUGGGGCGACCGCGGGGAAAUAAUAACCCCCCAUGUGGAACAGGAGCACCCCUCCCACAGUUAAGAGCCUCCGCUCUAACAAACAGAACCUCUGACCAAACAUGAUCCGGCAACGCCGAUCAACGGACCAAGUUACCCCAGGGAUAACAGCGCAAUCCCCUUUUAGAGCCCAUAUCGACAAGGGGGUUUACGACCUCGAUGUUGGAUCAGGACAUCCUAAUGGUGCAGCCGCUAUUAAGGGUUCGUUUGUUCAACGAUUAAAGUCCU